ACUUCAAGUUCAGUGCUCCAAUUUUAUUCAACGUGUAACGUAUAAGUUGGUAGACCAAUAGAAUUUAUAUGAACAAAUACUAUUUGAUUUCGGGGAAGGUAUAUUGCAAGGUGUAGUCAAGUUUGCUGAUUUUACAAUUGAAAAUAAUUUUAGAAAUACAGGCUAGAAUGCAAAAGGCUGUAGAUAAUACAAAGCCUUCCUUAAGAAUACAAAGAUUUUAUAGGGAAAAACAAGUGUGCGUUGAAAAAAAUCAUUUAUAAAGACGAAAGAUUUACAAAUUAUAACAUGAUACAUCAGGAAAAUUACUUCCGAAUAAAUUGACUAUACAUAAUUUGACUGAUGAUUGGCUAAAAGCUAUUCAGGUGAUUUGGAAAACUACCCACUUAAAUGCAGAAAACAAUUGUGAUAUAAAUAAAUCAAUGUCGGAUUGUUUUCAAGAAAGAGAAGAACUUUGAUUGCGUUAUCAAGUAGCUGUAAUUAGAAAUGCUAUAAACGAACUUGGAUGUAAAAAAUUACCUUCUGGAUAUGACCUUUCAAUGGAGGAUUCAUUUACUGAGCCAACAAAAACAAAAUCAAAAUUUACAAGAGGACAACAUUUCUAACAUUUCUAAUAGUUUCUUUGGCUUCAACCCAUAAACUUCUGUCUGAUAAACAAACAGAAUUUAAUCUGAUUAUAUCUGAUAAAAAAACAGAAUAGGCUCAUGCAUUCUUCAUAAUUUCAAGUUCAGUGAUAAUAAAUAUGAGAAUCGAAGAUAUUGAAAGAUCAAUCAGGAUUUUAAAUUUAUUACAGUUCUGUCUUGUUUCUUUAAAAAUUUUAAAAUUGAUUAACAAAAGAAAGAAGAAAUUGAGAAGAUGGUGGGUCAAACCACAUCUUUUACCCGGCAUCAGAAAUACUGUGGGAGCAUAUACAGUCAUAUGUCAUUACUUUCAAUUAAACAAUCAUGAAGAAUUCCAAAUUCAUUUCAAGAUGUCAGUUGAUAAUUUCCAAGCUUUAUGCGAUCUUAUUGGGAAUAGAUUACAAAAGCAAUACCAUACAAGAGAGCCAAUCGCACCAUAUCUACGACUUGCUUUAACUUUGCAUCACUUAGGACAAGGAGGAAACGCUCAUCUUCACUCUAUACAUUAUAGGGUUGGAAAAUCUACUUUUUACAAAAUUAUUCGUGAAACAUGUUACAUUAUUGCUUCAGUUCUGCUGCCUGUUUAUAUGAAAGUGGAAGUUACGGGAAUUGUACAAGGAAAUGCUUUGGUUACAACCGUAUUUAAGCCAUAUGCCUCAAAUUUGUUCUGAUAACAUGGACUCCUUGAUGAAAUUAUCAUCAAGUAGUGGUGAAAACAAAUUCGACAAGAGGAAAUUUAGUUGGAAAAGAAAAUCAGAUGAUGAUAUUGAAACAUUAGACGAUGCCAUUGAUACAGCUACGAAGUCCAUGAAAAAAUUGGAAAAUGAUCUUGCAAAUCUUGAUAAGAACACGAGUAAUGAGAAUCAAGAAAUUAGAAGAUUCAUGAAUUUAAUCAAAAUAGGAUUUAAUAAUAUUUCUGAAUCAUCAAAAUACAAAUGUACUAGAGAAAUAAUUUCUUUUAUUUCGAAAUUGAAAUAAGUUUUACAAUAAAAAAAUUGUUAUUCACUUUUUAAAAUAAAAACUGAUCAAUAAAAAUUAGAAAAUAUAACACGUAUCCACUAUUUUACCGCUUACGUUAUAUACGUGUCAGUUUUCGCCCCAUAUGUGGCCAAGAUUGGUACAUAUACAUUUCUGUUUUUCUUUGUUCAAGCAUGUCGUUAGUAUUCUUUGCGUCUACAUUUCCUACAAUUCUACAGUUACAGUCGCUGUAAGAAUAAAUUUUCAACUGGUGAUCAAAGUUAUUAUAAUAAUGAAUAAUACGGUAGUAAUAAAAAAUAUAAUGGAAUUCAAACCAUUCCAUGAAGAAAAAUUGAACGAGAAGAUGAAAUUCACGAUUGAAUAUAUUAUACAAAACGAUUUUCGUCGUUUUGUACCAGUGGCGUUUAGAAAUAUUGAAAUUCAUAUGGGCAAUAAUAAUUAUUCGAGAUUCAUUUUUUGGUUUUCCAAUGAAAGCGAAGGUAUAAUUACAUUGGAUAAUGAGAUUAGCCAUAAAGAAGUGUUGCAGAAAAUCAUUCAACAAAAGACAGUGAUUGGAGGUUACAAGUGCAGAUUUCUUGGAACAAUAGAAGAUGACAAACCAAUAACCAACAAUACAUUUACAAAUCGAUGGAGUUUA